UCAUGUUUAUUUUCUGUCCUUGGGGCGUAACAGGUGCAUGUUAAGGCAACAUGCAAUCAUACAGCCAAUUACAAAUGGAUUUGGCCCUGGGCAAGUUCAUGGAUGUAUCUUGCAAGGUGCAAGAAGAUUUAAGGUUAUUUGAAGAGCUGAGCUACCAGGUGUGGAGAUGCUCAUUAAGAUCAGCCAAACUGAAAACCAUGACACCAAGACUGGCGCAGCGAGUAGAAGAAAUAUUCCUACAGGAUGCGGAAACUGUUAUCCAACUCAGCAAAGAAGACACUCCGUCGUGGUGGACGACCGAGAGACAGCCUGGCUCGUGUCUGUUGUCCCAGCUUCAUCUUAACCAUGCACGUGCCCCGACAGGGAAUCAAACCGGCAACCUUUGGAUGCACAGGACAACGGAGCAACCCUGCCUGGGCCACAGAUACCCAUUCAGAGGUCCCAACACUGUGGGAAAAUCUCUCCACAGCUUUCCCUCUUAAAAGCAAAAUACUAAACACCAACAUUUUAGAAUUAAAAUAAUAAAAAUCAGCCUGGUUAGAUUUCUGCCUGCCUGGAAUUCACGAAUAAAGAUUUUGUAAUAAAAAA